CCGAGCAACGCGGCCCAGGGCCCGGGAGAGCGCGCUGGGACGCGCGGGGGGUGGGGGUGAGAGGUCCCCUCAGCUCCCGGCCACCAGGCAAAUUCGCUCGACCCCAGGGUGCGUUUCAGUCAGCUGCUGGCCAAUUCCGUAGCAGAGCCCACCAGCUCGGCCGCCCUCGAGGCCCUCAGCCCCCACCCCCACGCCCAGGCUACUGGGGUUUGGGGAACAGAGCAGGGCUGCUCGGAAGAGGGGUUCCUAGUUCGUCUGGACUUGCAGUAGAUGUAGACAGGCAGAUUCCUGGGGCAAGAGGAAAAUCAGAGGAACACUGCAGUAGAGUCUGCCCGGAGUUCAGGUCCCAGCUCCAACACUUAGGACACUUCCUGUUCUUCCUCUAUAAAACAGGGACAGUACAGAAGGAUAAUCGCUUGUCUACCUCCUCCAGCUCCUGGCCCCGGAGGGACCCAUCCUACCAUGAGAAGCCAGCCCUCCUCACCUCUGGAAGGAGUGCACUGACUCUCCUCCUAUCUUUACGCACAGUAAAGGGAGCCAGGAGAGCCAUAUCCAAUGGCCCCAAGCACCUUGGAGAAGAGGGGAGCUUUGAAUGGAGAUCCAGCAUUCAGAAUACAGGACAGAACUGACAUCGGCCUGCGCUAAAGUGGCAGAGGGGUUCACCAGGACCCCCUGCUCCACACUUCCCCAUCCCCAUCCUUUUGCCUGGCAAACUCCUCCUGAUCUUUAAAACCACUUCCAGCAUGACCUCCUCUGGGAAGCUGUCCUUGAUGGCUCCUCCUGCCUCCGUACACCCCAGGUACAACCAACCACUUCCUCAUUUGGACACCCCGAGGCUUAUCCAGUCUUUCAUUCCUUGAAAGAAAAAAAAAACAUUUAUGGGGUGUCUUCUUUGCAUGAGGUGCAGUGAAGGAGUCAUACACAAAAUGCAGUGUUGUGCAUGUGUGCAGUUCACAAGGCUACCAGGGUGCCUCUCCAGCCUCUUUCGUCUAAGUCUGUGUCCCAAGCUGCACAGAGCCGGUCAAGGCCUAAAGCUCUUUGUGAUACUCCUCUGUACCCACUGUGCCCAGGACUUUUGUGUAACUGGAACAGAUUAUUAACAGGCUUUGUUACUAAAACCCCCAUUACCUCCCAGCUACCUGGUCACCCGAACUCUCCCCUGAGACUUCUGAACAUGCCUUUCCCCACAACUAAAGCACUAAUGCCCAGUGAAUGCCAUAGCUGGCCAUCUGAUGGUCUGAUCGAUCAGUAUCAUGUCUUAUCCUAUUACAUAUGCUUAAUGUCACCUAGAACCAUGUCUAGCACAUAGUUCUUGGCUGCCGUUUGUUGAAGGAAGAAAGGAAGAUAAGAAGGAAGAAAGAAGGGAAGAAAAGAAUUCUAGCGUUUAUAUACUUAUGCCUACUUAGAUUUGCUACUUCACCUGUCUGAAUUUAAGUAUUUUGAAUUAUUCAUUUUCAUUACUCCAGUGUGGUCCAUGAAUGUAUAACUCAGCUUAACCUGGGAUCUCAUCAGACAUGCAGAAUCCCAGGCCAAGCCAGACCUACUGAAUCAGAAUCCACAGUUUGACGAGAUCCCAAGUGUCGUACGUGCACUUGGAUAUUUGAGAAGUACAUUUCUCGGCUCUGAAAGAGAUGUCAGACCUGCUGACCUCCCAGGAGAGUGAAGGGUGUCCGGUGGGAUGACGAAUGUGAAAACGUUUUGAAUACUGGAACAUGCUGGGCAGAUGAGCUAGACUGCUAUGAUUAUUCUUACGAUUAAUAAUAGCCCUUACAGGAAAACCACUUUAUAGUUCUGUUUUUAAAACCUCAUUAAAUGCUGUUCAAAUGUGCUAUUAAAAGUUAUGUUCUAGUCCACUGAGUUUUGUAAACCCCAAGCCUUUUACACAGAUUGGAGCCUGGGCUUGGGUAUAGAAGCAUGGGUCCUGCUUAUGAUGGUCACCAUGGGCCUGAUUGAAUACAAAUUUGUAUCCCAUAGCACCCUGCCAACUGAUUGAUCCUGGGAAAGAAGGAGAUGUUGGGAACCCAGCUCCUCAGAGAAAGGAAAAACUAAGUAGAGGCAGAGGGUGGAAAAAGACAAGCCUGGGGUUUCAUGCUGGUUGGCGGGCUUGUACUGCAUGCCUGUGAUCUUCUGCCUUUCAGCCUCUGCCAAGCCAUGUGGAAGGAAAAGAGGGAGCAGAAGAGAAGGGAGCAGACGCUGGUGGGAUUACCUCAGCCACAGGCUGGGCAGUGGGCCGCCACUGAGAGCCCUUCAGAGAAGCAGCCACAGAUGCAGCUGCAAGUCGCUGCUAGGGCUUUUGAUGCUAGACUGGCGUGGAGCCCACAGCCAGGCCACCAACUCCAUCAGCUUUUGGCCCUGAGAUAAAGGCUAAGAGUGGGUUAGAAAGACACAUCUUGGACUCAAGUUAGAGAGGGCAAGAGAAAGUGAGCACCUUGAUUAAAUAAGGUAGAAGCUGAUAAUUGGUCAAGACUACUGAGAAAGCCAUAAAUACCAAAUUCCAAAGGUAUCUGGGCUGCUCUCUGCUCUUAGUUAGGUCUGCGUGCUCACCCAGGCUGACCACCCCAGGGUUGGCAACUCCAACAAGCCCUAGCAAACAAAACCCCAAGGUGGUGGGUUCUCCUACUAGGUUUGUCUGUAGCUCAGCCAUAAACUCUGAAUCUAGUAACACGGUCUUCUCUUGUUCCUCGUCCUUUCCAGGUACAAAUCUCCCAGCCCUCUGCCUGGCUCACACUGCCCCCUGCCAGCCUGACCCUUCUGCCCUUCCAAAUUAUAGCAUUGAUUCUGACCCAGAAUCAUUUAUAUCACUUAAUGCUCAUUCUCCAAGUCAGUCAGGGGCUGCCAUAUUCACUGAACCAGGCAAGAAGAGUUACCCUGCAAGACCCCACAGUCCGAGGGGAGAUAGCUAGGGCAACAAGCAAGGAUAAAUUCUAUCCCCACAGGGAGUGCAGGGGUCCCACGGAACACAGCCAAAGUGGGGGUGGGGCAAGAGGCUUCCAGGGAAGGCCUGAAGGACCAGCAGCUGAACCCAGCUAAAGAAAUAGCCAAAGAGCACUUGGGCUGAAUGUGACACAGCCUCACUGGAAUCAGAGCUGUGCAGUUAACAUGGUGAGAUGCCACUCUGCACCCAUCAGACUAUCCAUGUAAAAUCUGGUGAGGACUGAGGUGGGUGUGUGGCCAGCCUGGUGCCUUGCUGGGGUACAGGACUAAGAGCAAUUAAACCCAGGCCUGACUCAGAGCCCCCUAAGCAAUGUUCCACAUGAGUAUGCACAAGAAACCCCGUGCCUUGAAGGGAAGGUUCAAGAAUGCUCAUUAGGGCACUAAUCAAGGAAGAAAAAUACAAUGUAUAUGUAUGGUGCAUGUGCAGUUAGAGGACAUGCACUAGACUCUAGAGGGACAUGCGUGAUAUAGAUCCUAAAACAUGUGCUAGUGAGAAAAAAUCAGAAACAGAAGGUGCUAAAGCAAAAUGCCAGUUACAUAAAUUAAAGACAUACAUAAAGAAAACAACACUCUAUAUUUUUCAAAGAAACGUGUAUUUUCAAGGUCAUACACUAAACACAUUAGAGUGGGGACCUAUAAGGAAGAGGGAAAUGAAGGGACAGGAAAAUCAGGACAAACCAAGAGCAAGGCCCGGCAGGAAAAAUAAGGAUAAUGAAUGGCCAUAAGGACAGCAAUUUAAUAAACUUGCUGCAACUACGCAAGAUUUUUAAAAAGAAAAGAAAAUCAGGAAGGAGUUGGAGUCUGGGCUAAGAGAACCAGAGGUGCAGAGACCCAGAGGCAACAAAAGAAAUCUGCAGAGGGCACACAGGAGAGCCUGGCUGGGAAACAAGGGGACUAAGUGGGGAGGGAGGAGACUGCAGUGGGUGGUGAGGACAGACCAUCAGGCCUGUGUACCAUGGAGAGGACUCUGUACUUUGUCUCUGACUCCCUGGACACUCCUGGAAGUGUUUUAAACCAGGGUGGGACUUGCUCAGAGUUGGGUCUUGGAUAUUCUUGUAGAACCACAGAUUUGCAGGACAUCACGAACAGAUGUGACCAUUACCUGCCCAUCCCCCUGCCCACAGAUCCAAGAAUAGAAAGGUUGCCCUGAAACUUUACUAGAGCCUACCAAGCUCUUCCAUAUUCAGAAUCUCACUUGGUCCCCACAACACCCACAGAAGUGGGCACGGCAGGUGCUGCCAUAUAAUGGAGGAGUUUACCGAAGCUCAGGAGGAUGAAAAGUCUUGUAUUCUUCAGGUCGUAGAAUCUCAGCCUGCUCUCCACAAGUUACAAGACCCAAAGAAACUUUGUCAAAGCUGAGCUGAAUUAAAAUGUGUGAAGUUUAAUGGAAGUGAUUAGGUUUAAACCACUUCAUGUUAUGCUCAGUUGCACCCAUCCAUUCACUGAGAACGCAGGUCUAUGUAAGUGCCUACUGCAUAUUAUCAUGUGCCAGAUGUGGGCAACACAGCUGUGUACAAGACCACAUUGACCCACUCAAAGCUAAGAGACUAGCAGGAGAGCCCAACUUAAACGAGUCUCUGGGGUCUUGCGGGCCUUCUCGAUCCUUGAACACACCUGCCUUGUUGCUGCCUCAGUGCCUUUGCCUACAUCAUUAGAACUCUCGCGUCACUUUGUGCAGUUCUCUGCUCAAAUAUCAUCUUCUGAGGGAAGCUAUUUAUGGCCACCAUAGUUCUUAGUGGCUACCAGCACUACUGAUCCACCCCCCUCACUGUUCUCUACCCCGUUACUCAGCUGAAUUUGUCUAUCCUGCAUUUAUCACUGCCUAGAGGUAAGCACAUAUGUACAUUUGUUUACAUUUUUUAUUUUAUUUCUGUCUUCUAGCUGUGUAAGCUCAAGCAGGGUAGACACUUUGUCAACUUUCUACUACAACACCUCCAGCACCAGAAUUCUGGUUGUAUGUAUGACCAGAUACAUACAGGAAAUGUUCACAGGUUGGAUCAUUGAUCUAUGAAAAGCUAUAGAAUUCAAUCAAAAUAAGACCAGUGCAUUGAUGUAGAGUUGGGUUAUACUGGGCCAGAAAGGGCUCAUUCAGUAGUGUAUUUUUUUUUUAGUAGUUUAAUUAUUUAUUAUUUAUUUCUUUAUCUUUUGGUUCCAAGGAACAACCUCCAGACCUUGCACAGGUGAGGCAGGUGGCAGCUAAAUCCCCGACCCCUGAUACUAUAUUUAAUAAAUGUUUACUGAGCAUGUAUCAGACACUGCUUUAUGCUCUCACGGGGUACAUAUUCCAAGGAGAGUCAGUAGCUUGAGAUGAAUUAAGUCAAAAUUACAAAACUAGCUGAGCAUGAGUGAAACUAGGUUGAUUUCAGCAGGACUACAUUGUUUUGGGUUGGGCUGAAGUAUUCCAUGAAAUGUAGGACCAGCCAUGGCCCAGACGCCUUGGACUAAGGUGAGCUAAGCCAUACUAGGUUUAGGCGAAUGAAGUCAAACAGGGCUGAAAUAGGCUGGGUUGUAUGAUUAAAGUCAAGUCUAGUGGAGAGGAGUGAGUUGGAUCAAGUUGAAAGUAUCUGUGCUAUAAAAAGGUUUCGGUUUUUAACUGAGUUGAAUAGACAUGCAGUAGGCUGACUUUGAUUGGGCUUUGAUUGGGCUGAUCUGGUGGGUAGGCAUAGAUAAACCUGAGCAAGACUCAAUUAAACGGAGCUUCAUUGAACUGGGUAGAGAGAGAGUUUAUGCUGAGUUUCUGAGUUGUGUCAACUUGGGUCCUAUUGAGUGAGGCACGUUUCAUUGAGCAAAGCUAGAUGGGAUUCAGAUGAAAGGAGGUAUUGUUCCUGGGCUGAGCUGAUCAGAUCUACUGAGUUCAAUGGAUCUGUGCUGAGUGAGGCCAUCCAGAUCAGUGAGGACCUGAAACAAUGCCACCACCAACAGAGAAUGGACUCAGGCAGCUUGGAAGAAAAGCUAGCACCCUCUCCUUCCAGUAUGCUCUGUAACCCACCACAGACCUCAAAGAACUGCCUUCCUUCCCACCAGACUGGAAGAGCCCACGUCUUCCAGUUCCUCAUCCACCUCAGACACUUGGAGGUCUGAGAGGUCUCUAACACAAAUCCCUGUAUUAUCCCCAGUGGGUCCUCCCUGUCCACAGGCUCCUUGUGCACAGGCAGAGGUCACAGGCUAUGCAAUACACAUCUCUCUCACCUUCAACUUCCUGGAUGAGCUCCCUGGGAGCCAUCUGCUUACAGCCCAGAGCUAUUGGAACACCAGCCGCAGGGGCUGUGCUCAGCCUUCUUGGCCUUGUAAAGAGCACAUUGGGCUCCUUGCAGCUUCUCCCAGUCCAUUGGUGCCAGUGGGACCUUUGAGCACAGCUCUCCUUUGGUGUCUGACUCCAAGGCACCAGCAGCAGUAGCUUGAAACCAGCUAACUCAAGUCCUGCUCUUUCCCAAGGUAGUUCUGAGUGAAAUCAUAGCCAUUCCUGGGUCAUGGGAACUUCAAGGUUAGGAGGACCUCUCUCUCCAAAGUCCCCAUCUCCCACCAUCCAAAAGCCACUCUCAAAGCCAGAAUGAGAUAAAGGCUAAAUUCUCCAGCUCUCAGUCUCUGUAACCACCAUUACUUCCUCUUAUCACUGCUUCUCACCCACCUUGCCAGGACCCCUAUCUAGUCUCAGUACUCAUGGAGGUCAUGAUUUCAUGGAACACAUAAGCACAUGCACGCGCGCACGCACACACACACACCCUGGUUCUCUAAGAUUGGAAGGGAAAGUCAUUUGUGAGAUGAAUUUAAUACUUAGUAUGCACACAAAAGUUUUUGAAAUUUUAGAAAAUAAAAGCAAAAACCUUGUACAUUUGAUAAGAAGGAAAUGAGCCAGAAGAAGAGACUAAAGAAGAAAUAAGAAAAUACUGACUAUGAUGAGACAUGGCAUUAUGGGAGGGGGGAAAUGGAAGCAAGGACCUGAGAUGCAGAAGGUCUUUAAGGUAUGAAAGAGUUUCCCUCCCCACCACCUCCCUACUUCUUCCUACUUCUUCAAUCUGUGGGGCCGCAGAGAGCACAGGGAAGCCAAGUGAGUGUGAGCACCUUAUCCAGCAUGAGAAGCACUCCCAUGAAUCGAAUGAGAUGGGGAAGGUUUGCCAGGGCCCUCGGGUGGCAGAGCUUUGUAGAUCACUUGUGCUCUCUCUGCCCCAGAACCUUUAUACCUACAACUCCUCUCUCUAGAGCGCCCCCUUGCCUUUACAUACAUGUCUGCCUUCCCUUUGCAUGACCAACUCCCACGUAUUCUUCAAGCCUCAGUAAGGGGUCACUGUCUCAGGAAUACCUUCCCUGAUUCCCCCCACUGUCCCCAGUUUGGAAGCACUCUGAACCUCUCCAUUGCAGUGUUCAUCACAGUAUUGACUGCUGAGGAUUUUUCUCUCCCUUUAGAAUGUAAGCUCUGCAAGGCUGGACCCUUGACUCUGUUGCCAUCCCAGCACCUCAUACACAGUAGGUACCUGACUAAUACUAGUGAAUGUAGGAAUUAAUCCACUAUACACGCAAUUGACAGGUGCAUAACAUAGGUGAAGAGGGACACUCUGCUUCACAUAUAGAGUCAUCAGUGGCUGGCCAGGACUGGAACUCAGAUUCCCCUUUCCAACUGCUGAGCUAAGGGACCAAUUCCUCUUCCACAUCUGGACAAGCCACUGUGGUCUCCAAGCAAAGAAGGCAAGCACCAAAGCAGAGGCUGGUGUGAAUUAUGGUCCCCCACCUCCCUGCUCCCUCACUCCUCUCUGAAAGACCCUCCUCUCUAAAGUCACUGCCAAGGGCUAGGCCUGGAAACUACUCCCAGCCCUAAUCCAUGGCAUCUACCAUCAAAGCCCCUCCUGAUUACCCUCAGCAGAAGGGUAUGCUUGAGAUGGAAAGUGAGGAGCCUUGCAUGUAUUGGAAACAACUGUCUCACUGCCUGGCCGUUCACUCCUGAGCCUUGAGCUUCUCAUGGGACAGCUCAGUACCCAGCCCUGAGAACCUCCCCUGCUUUCCUGUAACCACAUGGAGGUAUCCACCAUUAUGUCCCAGGCCUUUAGGGCAUUUUAUCCUCAUAAGAACAUCUGGAGUAGAUACCAUUAUUCCCCUUUUACAGAUUAGGAAACUGAGACUCAGAGUGUUCAUGUUACUUACCCAGAAUCACACAGCAGGCAGAAAAAAGGUAAGAUCUAUCUGAUUGCAGCAGCAGUGCACCGGACCUCUGUGAUACCCAUCCUCAACCUGUCUCUCCUGUAACCAGCACCAGGCCUCACAUGGCAGUCGCUCUCACAGAUGCCCGGGCUUUGGCUUCCUUGGACCAACAGGCCCCAACAGCUGUAUGAGAAUCUCCAGGUAACACGAGCAGAGAGGAACCUGAGCAGCCAAGUGUCAGAACUCAAGCCCAAGAAUAAACUUUUCAUGCAAACACUCCCAUGCACACACACAUGCACAUACACACACGACUUUCAGUAAGAGCAGAGCCAGGUGCCCUUACUUGCUUUGCUAUGUAAGGCAGAUCUAAACAGCAGGCUGCUGCUGCCAGCCAUCUGAGGAGCACCACUGGCUUCAGAGCCUCUCAGGAUGAAGCCUUCCCAGUGGGCAGCACAAGGUCAUUUCCCUGCUCCUCCCUUUCCAGCCAGAGUGGGACUUUUCACCAACCUGCAUGUGGGGCUACACAGAGCAGAGGCACAGGCCAGAUCAGGCAAGGUCUAGGGGAAGCCUGGUGUCCAUGGCUGGCAUAAUCCAGAGGGAGAGAUGGGCUGGAGACAGAAGAGAGUAUCCCUGCCUCAAAUGGCUAGCCAGGGUUGACUCCUGCAAACCCCAGCCACAUCGACUUUCUGGAUUGGUGUUGUGAGCACUGGUUACUUAUGUGAAGCGCAUGGAAAACAUCACUGUUACACUAAUAACCCGCUAACUCUCAUCAAUGAAAUGGGGGUCACAUGUUCCCAGCUCUAGGUACCCAUGCCUCUAGCUCUGAGCCGCCAUGAAUAGGAGAGAAAAAACCCUGCCCUGCAGAGAGUCAAAAAACAAAAGAAACAGUUAAAAUAUACCAUGGAGAAAGAUAAAGCAGGAGAGGAAGAGUGGUGCAGGGGAGGAAGAGGAGAUACAAAGCAGGGUUCCAUCUGAGGCCUGGAAAGGAGACAUUUGGGCAAAAAUGUUUUACGAAGAGGUCAGAAGAGGGCUGUCUGAGCCAAGGAAAUUGUCCCAGGCACAGGGGACAGCAGAUGCAAGUCUUCCCAGGUGGAAAGGAAAUAGAUGUGGUGAGAAAAAGCUAAGAGACCAGGGCCCUGAAUAGAUGGUUAUUAUGGUUUAAAUAUGAAGUAUACCUAAACAGAACUCCAGUAGUACAAGAAUUAAUACCAAUAAUCAAAUGGGACUACAUCAAGUUAAAAAGCUUCUGCAGAAGAAAGG